UACGUAGGGUGCAAGCGUUAAUCGGAAUUACUGGGCGUAAAGCGUGCGCAGGCGGUUCUAUAAGACAGAUGUGAAAAUCCCCGGGCUCAACCUGGGAACUGCAUUUGUGACUGUAGAGCUGGAGUGCGGCAGAGGGGAUGGAAUUCCGCGUGUAGCAGUGAAAUGCGUAGAGAUGCGGAGGAACACCGAUGGCGAAGGCAGCCCCCUGGGCUAACACUGACGCUCAGGCACGAAAGCGUGGGGAGCAAACAGG
rnacentral:rRNA from 1 species